rnacentral:lncRNA from 1 species
CAUGGUUCGAAGUACGGUAAUGGAAUAUUUUGAAAUUAUUUGUCACGAAAUGCGCCGGCGCGUCACCCUUCGGAUAGUGACUUGAUCGCACAAACAAAACGGAGCUAUUUGGAUAUAACUAUGGAUUAUUUCGAACCAAAACAACAUUUGUUGUUGAAGUAGAAGUCCUGGGAGUGCAUUCUGACGAAGAACAGCAAAGGUUUCUCGGAGUGCCAGAUGGAAUCAAGCAGUAGGAAACUGAUGCCCACCCUAGCUGGAGGACCCUAGAUAGCAGCGUCAGCCCUUGGCUCCCUUCUCCAGUUUUCCAGGUUUUGACCAUUCUGCCUGCCCUGAGCCUGUCAUUCUGUACCUUGUCACACCACCCUGGAUUAUAGACCUCUGCCUGCCCUGACCCCGAGACUGUCUGCCGUUCUGUACCUUAUGGACUCUUAUCUGGAUUACUGACCACUGCCUUGACCUGUCGUUAUUCCUGCCCCCUGUUCUAGUAAUAAACUUUUGUUACUUCGACACUGUCUGCAUCUGGG